UGCCUCUGCUUCCCGAGUGCUGGUAUUAAAGGCGGUCCUGGCCUAUUCAGAGUCUUUUUUUAACGCGCAUUUUAUUGAAAGAGCCAUCGCCUUCCCACUGAAGGGGAACCGAACAGCUACUUCCAAUUACUUUAUCCACAAGAGACGAACAUUUCACGCAGCUUCUACCAUUUCAGUCUUCCCUGGCUCUUUUUCCAGUCCACAAGCAGAUCUGGUGUCGGGAAAUGGAGAAGCAGGAGGGAAGACAGCAUCAAGGUGCCCACAGAAGUCAGAAGAGGGUGGUGGAUUCCCUAGAUCUGGGAUUACAGGCAGUUGUGAACUGCGUGACGUGUGUGCUGGGAACUGGACUCUGCUCCUCUGCAGGAACACCAACUGUUCCUCACUGUUCACUUCCUGUUGCCUGUGGAUCAAAGAGGUAGAAUCCUCCAGCACC